rfam:Papio anubis isolate 1X1155 chromosome 19, whole genome shotgun sequence.
AUCUAUGGCUACACCUCCCUCAUCCCAGAAGCUGAGCAGGGUUGAACCUGGCCAGUACUUGGAUGGCAGACCACCUGGGAAUAUCCGGUGCUGUAGGCU